rnacentral:rRNA from 1 species
CCUACGGGUGGCAGCAGUGAGGAAUAUUGGUCAAUGGACGAGAGUCUGAACCAGCCAAGUAGCGUGAAGGAUGACUGCCCUAUGGGUUGUAAACUUCUUUUAUAUGGGAAUAAAACGUUCCACGUGUGGGAUUUUGUAUGUACCAUAUGAAUAAGGAUCGGCUAACUCCGUGCCAGCAGCCGCGGUAAUACGGAGGAUCCGAGCGUUAUCCGGAUUUAUUGGGUUUAAAGGGAGCGUCGGUGGAUUGUUAAGUCAGUUGUGAAAGUUUGCGGCUCAACCGUAAAAUUGCAGUUGAAACGGGCAGUCUUGAGUACAGUAGAGGUGGGCGGAAUUCGUGGUGUAGCGGUGAAAUGCUUAGAUAUCACGAAGAACUCCGAUUGCGAAGGCAGUUCACUGGACUGCAACUGACACUGAGGCUCGAAAGUGUGGGUAUCAAACAGGAUUAGAUACCCUGGUAGUC